AUUGAACGCUGCGGCAGGCUUAACACAUGCAAGUCGAGCGAGCGGCGGAAGGGUGAGUAAGGCUUAGGAAUCUGCCUAUUAGUGAGGGACAACAUAUCGAAAGGGAUGCUAAUACCGCAUACUAAUAAAUGAGCCUAAGUCGGAUUAGCUAGUUGGUGGGGUAAAGGCCUACCAAGGCGACGAUCUGUAGCGGGUCUGAGAGGAUGAUCCGCCAACCUGGGACUGGGAAACGGCCCCAACUCCUACGGGAGGCAGCAGUGGGGAAUUUUGGACAAUGGGGUGAAACCUGAUCCAGCCAAUCCGGGGGUGGGAAGAAGGCCUUAUGGUUGGAAAGCCCUUUUAGCGAGGAGGCGUUACUCAAAGAGAAAGCACCGGCUAACUCCGUGCCAGCAGCCGCGGUAAUAC
rnacentral:rRNA from 1 species